ACAGAGAAGCGAGAGCAAGAAAGAGAGAGAGAGAGAGAGAGAGAGAGAGAAGCGAAUGGAAUGGAAAGGCAGUCAGGUUAGCCGUGCGGGAGAGAUUGGAGAGGCCAGGGACGAGGCAAGGCAAGCGAUUUAGCUGCUGCUGGUUCGGCGAGCCACGAGUUGGAGUGCCGAGAGAGCAGCCGAGGUCCCGUUGGCCGUGCCUGCACCGGGAGAGGCGUCAUGAAAGCGCGCCAGUUGACCGAGUGCACCUCACCUCGGACGAAACCGCGUAUUUCUCGUCGUUGAGGUUGCCUUGCCCCUCGGCCUCUGCCAUCGUGGAUUCGCGAGGAUUUCCACUCGCGAAUAUCCUGCCGCUGGCUGUCACGCGUCCCCUUCGCCCUGUACGCUCACGCGUUUCCCGGUGCUGAGAUCUCGCCGAGUUUCGUUUUUCCGCGCGUUGGUCGGCAAUCUGCUCGAUUUUCGUUGUUCUCAAGCGUUGUUCUCACCGACCAACCGAGCUGUGACGUGCGUGCGUGGUGUGUAUACGUGCGUGCGUGGUACUUUGGCCUACCUUUGACAUCGACGCUCGCUGAAACGCUGGCGAAACAGGACGACUGCUGCAAACGGUGACGUACGUGCGAUCGUUCGAUUUCUCCUGCGAUUUUCUCGUUUUCGUUACGGCACGUCGAAUGUCUGUACGUUGAAUCUCGCGGUUUCAUACACUGGUUGUUAUUGACAUAUUGAUUUCGUUGGCGCGGAUACUCUCUCUUUCUCUCUCUCUUUCUUUCUUUCUCUCUCUCUCUCUCUCUCUCUCUCUCUCUCUGUCUUUCGCGUGGCAUCGCUCGCCCGUGGAUCGGGUUCGAUUGGAGAAAAAUACGAAAACUCGUUUCUGUCAGUAGACACGCCUGUACCGGACGCAAGUAUAAAACGUUCGUUCGGUCUCUCACUCUUUGAUAAACCCUCGGCUCUGUUCCUCCGUUGGCUCGCGUCUUUCACCUUGACGUUGCAAGCAUUGAAACGUACUGGCACGUUUCGGCUGAUAUUCGCAUCGUCGUCGACAUCGCAGUGACAACCGCGCGAAAUAACCGAGCAUCUCAAUAUACGACGAUUGUCUCGUUAUCUUCGUUGUCACAGCUUCGUACCCAAGAAGGAAAUUCACAGUUUUCUUAGAACGUUUGGAGCUCGCAGUCGGGUACUCGGAGUACAAAGAGAGCAAGGUAACAAAAGAAAAAAACGGAGUCACGCUGGACUGGCUGGAGGAUCGAUUCAAAUUCGCCAGGCGUUCUGUGACGUUCGUUAUUUACAUAAUUCAACGACGUUAACGCAAGCUGUUUCACAGACAGAGAGAAAGGAAACGUAGCAGCAAAAAAAAAAGAAAAAAAAAAAAAAAAAAAAAAAAAAGAAAAAAAAAAAAAAAAAGAAGAAAAGAUAAGCUGGACUUUUGCUAGCUCACCUCUUCUCACGAAGUGAAUUUAUCUUCAACCAUUCUGUUUGCUUCUCAAGCAAAAUAUUCGACAGGAGAAAGCGUAAAAAUACGCGUUUUAAUUUUGAUAAAAAUUCGCAAAUUAAACACCUUUGUUAUAACAAUAAUAAUAAUAAAAAGAAGAAGAAGAAGAAGAAGAAGAAUAGUAAAAGAAAUUAAUUGGAAAUUAAUUAAUUAAUUCGUUCGUUUUGGACAGCCAGAUUGUCCGCAAACCACGGACGAUAUCCAGGACAAUCUCACGAUGCUAAUAGCGACGACAUCUCCGAUUUUCUAACGCUCGGUUCGUUACCUUGUCGUUGUCUCGGACGCGAUUCGGAGGGUAACAUCCCUCCUGGUCGUUAUUCCAUUGGCCGCGUUGAAGGGCUCGAAGCGAGAAGCAAUAGGAGCGCGAGGAGACGAGGAGCAGCAACAGCCUUAUCUAGCUGAAACUGUUUCGCUUUGCACGUACUUGGCGAGACGGAGCGGCUCGCCGAGGAGAGGAGAUGAUAGUGCACGAGCUCGUUAUCGAGCGCUACGUGCCCAUUGUCGACGAACGCAUUUGCCCGUGCCGUUUCCAGUAAUUCGAUCGGUCGUUCCACGAAAACCGGCACGUCGCUGCUGACUGGUCUACGCUUGACAUUCCAUUCGCUCCGAACUCGUAAACACGAAGCAGGCUAACCAAGUAGGUCGUUGAUCGAAAAUUCUCACGAGCAAGCUGACGAGCCGAUGGUGGUUUUGAGAUCAUAAUGGAAAGAGGGAGCAGUGACGAGAGAACCAACGACAGAACGAGGAAAAAAAGAGCGACGAAGUAAUCCGUCGGCGGCUAAACGACACGUUCGGCUCGUCGAUCGAGCGGAGACGCGCGAUCACAGUUGCUCAACGAGCGAGCAUCGUCCAAGAGCGAACGAUAGAGCAUCUAUCGCGCGAAGUAGUCCACCAGGAAGCCAACAGGCGGACGUCGUUCGUGACAUCGAACGGGGCGACACGUGGUCGUCGCGUACCCGUUUGCAACAAUCCCUACCGACGCAGCGUGUAACAGCCAGCCAGAGCUAUUCGGAACGGCGACAGAGGGGUCGAGAGAAGAGUUAGCGUUCCGGUUAGCCAAACUCGAGUCAGCUAGCCGACGGAUAUGGCAGCUGUCGUUCCUUCUGUUGUCCAUCAACGAUUCCAUCUCGCUCGACAAAGCAAUCGCCGACGUGCUACCGACAGUGAAUCGAGCGAACAGGUGUCGUCGCAACGUGUCCAGGCUGGGAUACGCGAUUCCUCGUGAUACUAGGCGGCCGGGUAGUGUGUCGUCGAUCGAUCAACGAGACCACAGCGAGCGUUCCACGCGCGCAUUCUUACGAUUAGUGAACGAAAAGUGUUUCCAGCCGGCGCGAUAAUCGGCGGUGAUAAUCCGUGAGUUUCAACGGUGAAUCAAUCGGUCAUCGAUCGAGCAAGUAGCUAGGAAAAGAAGAGAAAGGAAGAGAGUGCACACGGUCGACUAAAGGAAGUUUCGAAGAACGAAUAGAAAAUAGAAUUGUAUAUAUAUAUAUAUAGUUAUUCUUGGUAACUGUGGUCCUAGAAGGAUUUCUUUAAGGAUGAAGAACACGAAAGUCGUUGAUUCUCCGCGACCAGUCUCCAGGUUUCGCGGUACUCUUCUUCUGCUUCUGACGCUGCUCGCAGAGGUCACAUAUUCGGCAGAUCUUGCUAUCGAGAUACCAGGAAACUUGAGCCAGGGAGGCUCCUGGUAUCGCCUGGAUUACAGCCCUGCUGUAGGUUAUCCACCACCAAAUACCACUAUAGCCGCCACCGAUAUCGGUGAUGUGAUCAAGUUUAAAGACGGACUUCCUGGCACUAGAUAUGAAUUUUGGUUGUAUUAUAGCAACAGCACUCUUCACGAUUGGCUGACAUGGACUGCGUCCAUAACUACGGCCCCGGAUCCGCCCUCGAACCUCACCGUCUCCGUGCGGAAUGGAAAGACCGCGAUAGUCUAUUGGGCGCCGCCAGCCCAGGGCAAUUAUUCCGGUUUCCGGUUGAGGGUGCAAAGUUUCAGCGACACCGGAAAUCCAAAAACCAGCGUCAUCCCCGCGGACGCGGUGCCCUAUGUUCUACGUGAUCUCAUCCCCGGGGCUACGUACUCUCUUCAACUUUUCACCGUGUUAGACACCAAAGAAAGCGUGGCCUACACCAGCAGGAAUUUCACCACCAAGCCCAACACGCCGGGGAAGUUUAUCGUGUGGUUUAGAAACGAGACGACCUUACUGGUCCUUUGGCAGCCGCCCUAUCCUGCUGGGAUUUACAGCCAUUACAAAGUUAGUAUAGAUCCUGCCGAUGCCAUAGAAUCUGUUCUUUAUGUGGAGAAAGAAGGAGAACCUCCUGGGCCUGCACAGGCUGCUUUCAAAGGGCUCGUCCCUGGCCGAGCUUACAAUAUUUCCGUUCAAACGAUGUCAGAGGACGAAACCUCGGCCCCCACGACGGCUCAGUAUCGAACGGUGCCAUUACGUCCCCUCAAUGUUACCUUCGACAAGUCCUCGAUAACGUCCACGUCCUUUCGCGUUUUCUGGAACCCUCCCGAGGGGGUGUCCGAAUUCGAUAAGUAUCAAAUAUCGUUAGGGAGUAACAGAAGAUUAGCGCCAGUCACCAGGAACAGAGACGACGAGAGUAAAUGGGAAUUCAAGGACCUGGAGCCAGGGAAAACUUAUCAAGUGGUGGUGAAGACAGUGUCAGGCAAGGUAACCAGUUGGCCAGCUAACGGAGACGUUACUUUAAAACCGUUACCCGUGCGCGACCUUCGCACUGUCAUCGACGAAAAAACCGGAAUGGUGGAGGUGUCUUGGCAUCCUGAAAAUUCGAGCACUCAGGACAGUUACAAGCUUCAAUAUCACGAAGUGGAAACUACGAUCGGCGGUGACAGCAAUAUGUUGACAACUGACAAGACCAAGGUUACAUUGGAAGCCUUAUUGCCAGGCAGAAAUUACUCGAUAAUCGUCCAAGCGAUUAGUAAUAAGGUUGAAUCGAACGAGACGGUGUUGUAUCAAGUGACACGACCCUCCAGCCCUAUAAUCGAGGAUUUAAAGCCAACCGAGAUGGGGCUGAACAUCUCGUGGAAGAGCGACGUUAAUUCGAGACAAGAGAAAUUCGAAGUAACGCACAACAGAAACGAUACCGGGGAGAGUGCAACCACGUUAACCACGGAAUCUCAUAUCGUUUUGGAGGACCUUUAUCCUGGGGCAGCGUACGAAGUCAAAGUUUUCGCCAUUAGCCACGGUCUAAGGAGCGAACCGCACGACUACCUUCAAGCAGUUUUGCCUCACGCGCCAAAGAAUUUAAGUAUCGAGAAAGUAACGAGCAACACGGUUGUUGUACACUGGGAGGCGCCAACUGACUCGCUGUAUUCCGAGUUCUCGAUACGAUAUCGAACAGAGGAUGACCCGAGAUGGGUAAAAUUGCCAAGCGUUCGAGAAACGGAAGCAGAAGUGGCGGACAUGACGCCAGGGGAGAGAUACACGAUUCAAGUGAACACCGUGAGCUACGGGGUCGAAAGUCUCUAUCCCCUUCAAGUGAAUCAUACAGUUCGACCCAAUCCAGUACUUAAUAUCACUCCAGUCAUCGAUUCGACGAACGUGACCCUGGAAUGGCCAAGACCAGAGGGUAGAAUCGAAACUUACGUGAUAAGAUGGUGGCCAGUCGAGAAUCCCGAAGACAUACACGCUAAAAAUGUCACGGAGAGCAACGACGUGACCAGUGUACUUUUCGAAGAAAAUACAGUGCAAAGGGUGCUUAUCAGCGACCUGAUGCCAGGCGUUCAAUAUUCCUUUGUGCUCUACACUGUCUCUUACAAUUUGUUCAGUGAUAUCACCAAUUUGACAACCAGGACAAUGCCGCUGAUUCAGUCGGAAGUGGUCGUCGUGGUCGAUCAAGAUCAGCCCGAUUCGUUAACGUUGAGAUACACACGGACCCCCGUUCAAUCAUCCAAGUUCGAUCUGUAUCGAUUCCGGAUUAGCGAUGAGAGCAACACGACGAAAGAACGGAUGGUCGACGACAUCGACACCAAAGUGACGUUCACCGGCCUAACACCUGGCAAACUGUACAACGUCACUGUUUGGACCGUCAGCGAUAACGUGGAGAGCAGACCUCUGAUCAGGCAGGACCGACUUUAUCCUGAACCAGUCACGUCCAUUCAAGCAAUAGAGAUCAACGACACGAGGAUCACGUUAACAUGGGACAUUCCACGUGGACAGUACGACGCUUUCGAGGUCCAAUACAUAAACACAGAGGAAAAUUACAUUCAGAACAUCACGAGCGCUAAUUUGAUAACCAUCUCCGAUUUGAAGCCGCACCGAAAUUACACGUUCACGUUGGUUGUGCGUUCGGGCACGGCGUCCUCUUACCUCAGAAUAUCGAAUCCCGUGAGCGCAAGCUUCACCACCAGCGAAUCUUAUCCUGGCAAGGUGGAGAAGUUCCACCCUACGGAUAUUCAGCCUAGUGACAUUAGUUUCGAGUGGUCUUUACCGAGUCAGGAACAGAAUGGCAUCAUCAGAAAAUAUACCAUCACCUAUGGAUUGGAGGGUUCGACCCACACUCAGAUGCAGGACUUCAGGCCAAACGAAUACCACGGCGUUAUUAAAUCGCUCAUACCCGGGAAGACGUACAUCUUUCGGAUUCAAGCGCAGACGAAAAUCGGCUUCGGCCCCGAGGCGGUGUGGAAGCAGAAAAUGCCGAUUCUGGCGCCGCCGAAACCGUCGACUCAAGUGGUGCCAACCGAGGUGUGCAGAAGCAGCACCACGAUACAAAUACGAUUCAGGAAGAAUUAUUUCAGCGAGCAGAACGGCGCGGUCACGUCUUACACGAUCAUCGUGGCCGAGGACGAUAGUAAAAACGCUUCUGGCUUGGAAAUGCCCAGUUGGAGGGAUGUUCAGGCCUACAGCAUCUGGCCACCGUAUCAGGUGAUGGAGCCCUAUUAUCCCUUCAAGAACGGCUCCGUGGAAGAUUUCACGAUCGGCAGCGAGAAUUGCGACAAUAAAAUCGGUUACUGUAACGGGCCGUUGAAGUCCGGAUCCACCUAUAAAGUAAAAGUUCGAGCGUUCACCGCGCCCGACAAAUUCACGGAUACUAGCUACAGUUUUCCGAUUCAAACAGAUAAGGACAAUACGGCUAUCAUGGUUGGAGUCAUAGUUCCAAUAGUAUUUUUGUUAACUCUGUUGGGCAUUGGACUAUUGGUCAGACGGAGAAGAAGUCAAGGACGUAAAACGACUGAAACAAGGACCACUGACAACUUGUCUUUACCAGACAGCGUGAUUGAUACUAGUCGACCAAUUAAAAUUGAAGAUUUUUCGGAACAUUAUCGCACGAUGUCGGCGGACUCGGACUUUCGUUUCUCGGAAGAGUUCGAAGAACUGAAGCAUGUUGGAAGAGAUCAACCUUGUACAGCCGCUGAUUUACCGUGCAACAGACCGAAGAAUCGUUUCACAAAUAUUUUGCCCUACGAUCACAGCAGAUUUAAGUUGCAGCCUGUAGAUGACGAAGAGGGUUCCGACUAUAUUAACGCCAAUUACGUUCCUGGCCACAACUCUCCAAGAGAAUUUAUCGUUACACAAGGACCUUUGCAUUCGACACGCGACGAUUUCUGGAGGAUGGUCUGGGAAAGCAAUAGCAGAGCCAUUGUUAUGCUAACAAGGUGUAUUGAAAAGGGCAGGGAAAAGUGUGACCACUACUGGCCUAUGGAUACUCAUCCUGUUUAUUACGGGGACAUUUGCGUUACGAUAUUGAACGAGACGCAUUACCCCGAUUGGAGCAUCACGGAAUUCAUGCUGUGCAGGGGAGACGUCAAGAGAAUCAUUCAACACUUCCAUUUCACAACGUGGCCGGACUUCGGUGUACCAAAUCCGCCUCAAACGUUGGCUAGAUUCGUUCGAGCGUUCAGAGAGAAAGUGAGACCGGAUCAAAGACCGAUCGUCGUUCACUGCAGCGCUGGUGUUGGCCGCAGCGGCACGUUCAUCACGUUGGACAGAAUACUUCAGCAGAUCUUGGUGUCGAAGUACGUCGACAUUUUUGGAAUAGUCUGGGCAAUGAGGAAGGAGCGCGUCUGGAUGGUCCAGACGGAGCAGCAAUACAUCUGCAUACAUCAGUGUCUUCUGGCGGUGCUCGAAGGCCAGGACAUGACUGGACCACCGCGGGAGAUCCACGACAAUCAAGGAUUCGAAGUGAAAUCACUUCCCUUCUCCAACCUCGUGAUCCCUUUGAAUCCAGGCAAGAAUCGAAGCUCCGUUGAAAACACAAAGAGUCCCGCCGAGGAUGAAAAGGAAAGGUGACCCUCGAACUGCGAUUCCGGAGUCGAUGCAGUGAAGAGGAGCCUCAGUUUGCUGGACGACGAAGGAAUAGCAGAGUCAGGAAUGUGAUGUUCGAAUACCUCGUUUCAUUCAGGGAUCAACGAACACGAGGAUGUUCUAGAAGUAUUUUGAAGAGGUGCGGUGCACCGUUAUCGAGAGUAGCAUUACGACGCGAUAACAUGCGUGGCAUGUUGCUUAAAUCGCGAAGGCAAAAGCCAAGAGACUGAACAUGCGACGAUUCCUCGAUAAUCGAUUAUAUGUAGUCGAUGUUCAUUCGGUAAUGUAACGCCACGUGGUGCUUCUGAACAAAACGACAAACAAAAGACGACUAGUUAGCUCUGUUACGAAAGGAAGCAUACGUUCAAAGUGAUGCGUCUUUAGUUUUUCUUCUUUUACUGGCGACUCACGAGUGAACGAGAGCUAAAGGACUAAACGUGCGAGAAGGGGGAGGGUGGGAAUCAAUUUCAAUUUCGCGAACGUGAAAUUACGUUUGGCUCCGAGUCGUCUGGACAACGCACGAGUGGCAAAUUAAUGUCGACAAUAAAUAGAUACGUCGAACGAGAGAAAAUAUCGCACUCAAAGCUGUGGCCAUUUAAAGGGCUGUAAUAAAAAUUAUGGAUUCGCGACAACACGAGAGCAUUCAGCAGCGAAAAGGAGGACAAUUUGUUGCUACCCUGUCUUUGAUUGUACUGUUACAAGAUACAAGAAAGUAAAACGUAUAAUAUUCUAUAUCACAGAAUACGUAACUUAGACUAUUUUAUUGAAAUUGUUAUAGAAAUAUGAGAUCUUUUGAUGUUACCAAGUCUCGUAAUAAUUUCACUACACACGAGAAUGUAACUUUACUUUCGUCACCGAGGCACUUUUCGUAUUCCAUCAGUAGAAUUGAACGAAACAAGAGUUUAUUAUGUUAUCUCAAACAAGAGUUUAUGUUACAUUUAUGACAUACUGAGACGGUUCAAUAUCGUAUUCGGGAAGUCACUGUACAUACUGUGGAUUUCUGACGGAAUAUUCUGCAAUCUGUGUUUACUGUUCAUUCAAUUUCGACCAAGAUGUAACCACGGAGUAACGUUAUUCGAGGUUUUUUUUAACUACAUUUGUCACUACUCUUUAUGUGUCCACGGCUUAACUCGGAGGAUCCACUUUAGAACACACAGACUCUCAUACACUCACAUGUUAACACAGCAGUCUGAUGAUUCGACGUCGCUGAUGAUUCACAAACGAACGUCAGAAAUCAGUAGACAGUCUACGAGAACGCAUCUAGAACGUGAAAUUUCGUUGUCGAAAACGAGAAAGUGCAAAAUACCUUGCAGGUAUUCGCGGGAGGAACGAUUCAAGAAACCGGAUGCCGAAAGUGAAUGAAAAGAAAAAAAAAAAAAGCAGUCGGAGAUCGCUCUAACAAACGACGAUGAGAUUCUUCGAGACGUAAAAUUCGAGUGUUAGAAAAUUCAAUUGGAGAUGGUAGACGAAUCGUUUCGACGAAAAUAUUUAAAUGAGUUAUUUAUCGAAAUAUGCCGUGCAUGCUGAGGUAUAUAACAAAUGACGUUGCGUCUGAACGUUUGUUCGAAACGAGAGAGUGCGAGGUGAAGUAGCGUGGUAAAGAAUUUUUUUUCCCGUAGGUCGGCAGCGCGCGUUUCAUCUUCGAUCUCUGUCUCGUCGUGUAAAUAAUAUAAAAAAUCGCUGUGUGUCGACAUUCUCGAACUAAUUAGGCUUUGAAAUGAUCGCGAGAGCGCAUGUCGAUGGAAAUCGACGGUUCCCGCCUCGAUUUUCACGUCGGCACGACCGAUCCUCGCGCUUAGGUUACCUAUCGCGAUGUUAGAUAAGUCCAGGUUGCAUAUCUUAAGGAUUGUAAGAUGCGUAAUCCCGCAUUGGGUUGCCACGCUUCGAUCGAGCCGUCCGGUUCGCAACAAAUCGACUCAACUCUCGAAAACGAUGACGAAUCGUGUUUCCACGAUUAUUUGGAACUUUUGACGACUGAUUUUUAUUUACUAUUUAUUUGUUUUGCUGUUUUUCGUUCGUGCAUUCUGCGAACUACGAGAUAUUACAUUAUUUGCGACACGUUAAGCGAACAAUUGUAUUUUACGUUAUCUGCGAGUGUAUGAGAAUUCUUGAAGUUUAAUCGAAUAGAUCCAACUUUUCAAAAGAAACGUUUCUCAUUUGGGAAAAUAAUAAAUCUACGUCUGACAUUCAAUUUUAUAUUUCUAGAUUUCUCAUAUUGCUUUCUUCGCGUAAUAUAAAUCGUCCCUCGCUGUUUAAUAAAUUUUUAUUUCUUGCUCCAUUGUAAUCAGUUUCACGUGUAAUUGCUAAACUGCUGAUUUUUAUGCAAAUUGAUUUUCUUAAAUUCUAAUAAAAAAAAAAAAGUAGGACCCAAAGACAAAUUUGUUUCACUUGUUAAAUAUUGCAACAGGUAUUUCAUGUAUUAUGCGUGUUGUGUGGAUUUUUAUAAAUUUACAUUGCAAGUGCACAAAGAUCCGCAGUUUAAUAAUCACCAAUGAAAAAGUUCAUUUCACGAUUCCAUGCAAAUACUAUACCUUUCGUUUCUCUUUUAUUAAAUAUAUUAACGAACACUUGUUUUUGUUACGUUUUCAAACAUUUGAAUAAUUUUCGAUAUAAUCUCAAUAAUAGUCUCAUUUCACAAUUAUCUGAAAUAUCGUGCAAAUCAUAAUUUCAACGUUUCAAGCUUCGAGAUUCAUCGAUUUUGAAUUCUAAAGUGUUCUCAUCACGUUAUGGUCGAUUUGUUGUGAACCAAACGAUAAUUGGUUUAGACGCCGUUGCUGAUGUAAUUAAAAAAAAUCGUGAGUGGCAACCAUCCGUCCAAGGGCUGUAGUAGCGACGCCGAUUAAAUUGUAAAACAUUGCCUAGAAUGAAAAAAAAAGGGGGAAGGGAAGAAGGAUGAGAGGAGGACGAUUUCCUUCUUUUUUUCAUGAUAGGAAAAGUAAGAAAAAAAAAAAAAAAAAAAAAAACAUGUCAGUGGGAACAAGAAACUCGCAUCUUCGUAGAAGUCAUAUCACUUUUCACGAGAAUCACUCGACGAUCCGUAUAAUAUACAUAUUUACUUAUUGACAGUCGAUUCGAAACGACGAUCGCCAGAUCGUUCUGAAAGUUAAUUACACAUUAGCGUAGAGAUCGUUCUUUGACGUCGUUGUCAACGUUUCGUGUCGUUUGUCGUUAACACGUAAGACUAAUUUGUUGGAUAAACGGAUAGUAAACCGAACGAACAAUGAACGAGUGAACGAGUAUCUUCAAGAACAGAAACUGUAUGCAAUUUAGAUGAUUGAUAGAACUACAAUUUAGAAAAUAUUAACAAUGAAGUCUGAGAAACGAGGCAACGAUCAAAUCUAACAAUUAACGAUUCGUCUUGUUGUUGAUAUCAAAGCUAGAUUGAGUAAUAAAUUCGUUCGCGUUCCUUGGAAAAAAAGAGAACAGUUAUUAAGUGUUGCUAGGUCUGUGUAAAAUUUACGUAUCUAAUCGAAACGUAAUUUAUUAGAAAUACAUGCCUUUUAUUUCAAAAAUUCAGAUAUACUCUUGGAUUCUUUGAUUCUUCAAUUUUUUUAUACUAUCGUUUAAAAUGAAGUUAAUCGCUUGUCUUGCGAUCUUUACAUCUACUUUGACAUUCGCACAUAAAAUUAUACGUACGUGAGUUGUUUUCAAUAAUUUGCAUUAUAAUUUUGUAGUUGGAAAGCAAAGUAAAAAUUGGAAAAUUGGAAUUAUAAUUUGUUUUAUAUUGUAUCAGAUCCAUGAUCGACACGUCAUAAGGCAAGAGGAGUUUGCACUCUUGCAAAUCAGAAACAUUUUCUUGCAACAACUCGAUAAUUAUAGUUACAAUUUAUUUGAAUUCAAGAUUACAUUUCUAGAGCUAUGAAUGUUUCUUGAUAAGGUCGAAAAGUUAGAUCUCUUUUGAACGAUUUUAUUUAUGCAUACAUACUUCUGACAUACUUAUGAUGUUUCGUGGAAUUUUUGAGAAUAGAAUUAAAAUAAUAUUAUAGUUUGAAAAUAAUCAAAAAAUAGAAUCUUAAUAGGAAAUUUGUUUACUUAUUAAAUGUUAAAGCGCUGUACUUAGAUAUACAUUCUACGGAACUUCAAAAUUUUCCAUAAAUUCAUAAAAAUCUGAAUUUUAACAACAUUUCAUACAUUUCUAAUCAAAAUCUUCAGAAUUGCACGCAUAUUAUUCUUAAAUAAUUCUGUACAAUCAGAGGUCUGAAUAUUAUUUAUGCCAGCACAAUUGUCAGUCUGUCAGUCGGAGAAAAUAAAAUAAUCAGGCUUGUUGCAACGAAUGUAGCAAUGCAAUGAACAAUGAACAAAUCUCCUUCGUGCAAAAAAUAUCAAAAAUAAAAUUACACGUGAUUCACUACUUGUCUGAGUGCAAAAGAUUAAAACAUACGGCAAGCAAACUUAUUACUCAAUCCAGUAAUAAAACAGAGACCCAGUUUAUAACCAAUAAUAAUCGAACAGGUAGCGAACGUUGAACGACGGCAACGCGUUUAAGACGAAUCGGAAAGAGCCGAUCGUCGCUUCUGGUACUUAUAUAGAGAUUUGCUCGAUGCUGCAAAAUGGUGUACUUAAUUUUUGUAUUUACGACGAGGCAAGUAGGCGUGAUCGGACAAUUUUUAGGUGUUUAAGAGCAACAGGGAAAUCGAUUACUCUCAGCAGGGUCAAACGAAUUCUCUCGGUCUGGUUUCCCCCUCGGAAGACGGAGAAGGAAGACAUUCGAGAAGAGAAACAAAAA